rnacentral:rRNA from 1 species
GACAGAGGGUGCAACCGUUGUUCGGAAUUACUGGGCGUAAAGGGCGCGUAGGCGGGAUGGCAAGUCGGUCGUGAAAUCCUUCGGCUCAACCGAAGAACGUCGAUCGAUACUGCUGUUCUUGAGGGUUGCAGAGGAGACUGGAAUUCCCGGUGUAGCGGUGAAAUGUGUAGAGAUCGGGAGGAACACCGGUGGCGAAGGCGGGUCUCUGGGCAAUUCCUGACGCUGAGGCGCGAAAGCGUGGGGAGCAAACGGG